rnacentral:lncRNA from 1 species
UAGAAAUGUUUGGGGCAAUGGAAAUCUUAACUACACAGGCAACCCUACAAACACGAAUUCUUUUGCUCCACCUGUAGGUGGUGGGGGUAUUCCUGGUGAUGAAAUUAGUUGGGGAAACCUUACUUCUGUUCAUGGGAUGGGCAACAUUUCAAGCCUUGGACCGGGAAACCUUGGCCGUGGAACCGGAGAUAACAACUUUGGAUUGCCUUCUGGAACCUAUGUGAGGAGCAACUCAACUGGUACAAUUGGCGAGCCAUUUUCUGCAUCAGCCAAUCCAUAUGAAU